rnacentral:misc_RNA from 1 species
UUUCCGUUGGUGAACCAGCGGAGGGAUCAUUAUCGAUUUUAUUACUUCCAAACCCUAUUUGAACAUACCACUUGUUGCUUCCCGGUGUGCUUCGCCGCCGCCGAGGACACUUAAACUCUUUGUUGUUAUAAGCAUUUCUGAGUGGCCGAAAUACAAAAUACAAAUGAAUCAAAACUUUCAACAAUGGAUCUCUUGGUUCUG